AACGAACGCUGGCGGCAGGCUUAACACAUGCAAGUCGAGCGCCCCGCAAGGGGAGCGGCAGACGGGUGAGUAACGCGUGGGAAUCUACCCAGUUCUACGGAAUAACCCAGGGAAACUUGGACUAAUACCGUAUACGCCCUACGGGGGAAAGAUUUAUCGGAAUUGGAUGAGCCCGCGUUGGAUUAGCUAGUUGGUGGGGUAAUGGCCUACCAAGGCGACGAUCCAUAGCUGGUCUGAGAGGAUGAUCAGCCACACUGGGACUGAGACACGGCCCAGACUCCUACGGGAGGCAGCAGUGGGGAAUAUUGGACAAUGGGCGAAAGCCUGAUCCAGCCAUGCCGCGUGAGUGAUGAAGGCCUUAGGGUUGUAAAGCUCUUUCAGUGGGGAAGAUAAUGACGGUACCCACAGAAGAAGCCCCGGCUAACUUCGUGCCAGCCGCCGCGGUAACAC
rnacentral:rRNA from 1 species